rnacentral:rRNA from 1 species
GCAAGUCGAGCGUGAAAAGCCUUCGGGCUGAGUAAAGCGGCGGACGGGUAAGUAACGCGUAGGAAUCUACCUGGUAGUGGGGGACAACAUGGGGAAACCCAUGCUAAUACCGCAUACGCCCUACGGGGGAAAGCGGGGGACCUUCGGGCCUCGCGCUAUCAGAUGAGCCUGCGUUGGAUUAGCUUGUUGGUGAGGUAAUGGCUCACCAAGGCAACGAUCUUUAGCUGGUUUGAGAGGAUGAUC